UCUGUGAUGAUGAGAGGCGCAGGGGUACGGACCUCAGCCGGUGAUGGGGGCUGAGUGCUGCCGCAGACUCUGAUCAGAGGACGAGUGGUUCGCUGGCAGACGGCGGCAGCACGAAACAGACGCCGCACUGAACAGA